rnacentral:rRNA from 1 species
GACGAACGCUGGCGGCGUGCCUAACACAUGCAAGUCGAACGGAAACUUCCUGCUUUUUUGCGGUGCUCGAGUGGCGACGGGGUGAUUUACACGUGAGUUCCCUGUCCUUGACUUUAGGGUAUCCUCAUAACGCUUGGGCUCGUAACUGCUAGGAUUUCCCGCUGCAGGGUGGGCGCUGGAUAGUUUCGGUGGUUGGGGAUGGAAUGGCGCCCCAUCAGAUUGUUGCAUGGGUAGUGGCUUACCAAGGCUUGGAAGGGUAGCCGGCCUGGGAGGCUCAGCGGCCACACUGGGACGGAGAUACGGCCCAGACUCCUACGGGAGGCAGCAGUGCGGAAUAGAGCACUAGGGGCGGAAGGCUGAUGCGGCAACGCCGCGUGGGGGAUGAGGUGCUUGGGGUUGUAAUCUGAUGUCGCUUGUGACGAAGAGAGAGUGACGGUAAUGGGUGAAGAAGCACCGGCUAACUACGUG